ensembl:lncRNA
CUUCCUCUUCAGAUAUUUCCUCAUUGUGCUGUGAAGACGCUUGAUGAGAGCCAGAACACAGACAGACAGAAGUCCAGACGAUCUGAAGCAGCAUCACACUCUUCUGGAAACUGGACUUUAGAGAAAUUAUGCUCAUCUUUGGACUGAUGCUGCUGCUGCAGACUGCUGCAUGUCUGGAUCGGUUCUGCAGGUUUGAUCACCUAUAUUCGAUCAAACAAUGUUACGCAGCUCUGGGACACAAACUCAAUCUGCAGAUGAAGCUGAACCCUCAAUAUCAAGACCUUCAUUUGUAUAAGAAGUUAAAUGAUGGCAGUAUACUGGAAGUUUUUAGCAUAAAGAAAAAUAAAGAGCAUAAACAUGAAUCCAUCAGAAACAGAUCUGAGUUCUUCUUUGAUAAUUUGACUCUGAUCAUAAACAAUGUGAUCAAAGCAGAUUCAGGGACUUACACAUCACAUGUCAUUGAGAUAGAUAUGGUCAUAGCCAAUGAUCUUCAAGUGAUUGUUGAAACUCCUAUUGGCUCAGUGGAAGUGUCAAUCAUCUGCUCCUCCAGUGGGGUGAUGAGGGUGUCCUGCUCCUCUGAGGGGGAUCCGCUCCUCUACAGCUGGACUCUGAAUGGAGAUCCACUGAUGGAUGGAAACAGCAGCAUUGAUCUGGAUGAGGGAACUGAUGGAGACAUCAGCUGCAGCGUGAAGAACCACGUCAGUCACACACAGAACACCAUUAGAGUCCAACCCUGUGCUGUGUGUUCAGUGUCUGUGGUGUUUGUGCUGGUCUGGUGUCUUCAGCUGAUGGUUCUGUUGGGUCUGUUAGGAGGUUUUCACAUCUACAUGAGACACACGUCAGGAAAGAAGCAGGAAGAUCAGAAAGUGAGGAUGAGAAGAUUUAGAGAAGGACCUGAACACACAGCAGAAGAUUCAUGAGAGCAGCAGAUCAUCACAUCUAUGAGAAAUAACUUCAUAAUCUCACCGAUUCUAACAUAAAUCCAGCUUUCAGCUGUCGAAUAAAACCAGGAGACAGAAGAAGCUUUAAUAAUCGAUACUGA